GGACACUAUAGUCACCUGAACAACUUUAGCUUAAUGAAGCAGUUUUGGUGUAUAGAACAUGCCCCUGCAGCCUCACUGCUCAAUCCUCUGCCAUUUGGAGUUAAAUCCCUUUGUUUAUGAACCCUAGUCACACCUCCCUGCAUGUGACUUGCACAGCCUUCCAUAAACACUUCCUGUAAAGAGAGCCCUAUUUAGGCUUUCUUUAUUGCAAGUUCUGUUUAAUUAAGAUUUUCUUAUCCCCUGCUAUGUUAAUAGCUUGCUAGACCCUACAAGAGCCUACUGUAUGUGAUUAAAGUUCAAUUUAGAGAUUG